rnacentral:rRNA from 1 species
UGGUGGAGUGAUUUGUCUGGUUAAUUCCGUUAACGAACGAGACCUUGACCUGCUAAAUAGUCGCUCGAAUCUUCUGAUUCGUGAUAGACUUCUUAGAGGGACUUUGCGUGUCUAACGCAAGGAAGUUUGAGGCAAUAACA